GUGGUUGUGUGUACUUUUCCGCAGUCACAAAAUGUAAUAGUGAUUUAUCUAAAGUUCCUUAGGAUCGUGCUAUACCCGUUUGCAACCAAUGAUUUCCAAACUUCCCUGCUGGCAUUAGAGGCUGCUGCCAAGCCCUCAGAUGCAUCCACCCAAUGGGAGUCUUUCAUGCUCUCCCCAGCCUCGCAGAUCGAAACUAGAUCUAGUUUAGUCUAAGUGUAGCUCCAGCGAUUACUNAUCUCUCCUGGUUUUAACUGAUAAUAUGAGACAGCAGUCUAAACAUGAAGCCAGCCAGGCUACCCGGGAGUCGCAGCCGCCAGCAUACUUCUGCCCUAGCAAUGCAUCAGCGCCUGGAACCCAAAGCAGGGCGGAGACAGCAGAUGAACGCUGCUGCCUGCAGCAGAGCUUUGUUAGCAUGCAGGGUAUUUGGUUGGUAUUGGCGUCUUUUUUUCCCCCUCUCUCCUCCUCCCUCUGCCCCGGAACAGCCUGCCCCGCUCACAGGGAGAGAGCCUGUCUGUGUGCCGCCGCCCCACUCAGAGCCCGCCCCUUUUUUCUUCGCCCUGGCCUUCCGUGUGGAACAAGCCGGGCACGUGCGCUGCGACGCUGGCUUUCCUGCCUGCCUGCCAGGGGCGAGGCUGCUGCUACCUUUCUCGGCCACAGCCGCUUGCCUGCUCCGUUUCUCUCGGCGAGCGCGGGGCAGUGUCGUUCGUGGGACAGCACUCAACACGCGUGUCAUUGCAGUCAGAGGCACCACCAACGGCUAUUUGAAUUUUGAAACGCCCCGGCCGGCGGCGUCGGGGGUAUGUGAAAUAAGUUUUCGUUUUGCUUUGGAUUUCAGAGGUGGGAUGUUCCUGCCGCAAACCCACCCGCCCCCACCCCCGGUAACUGGUGUUAUGGUAUGUGCGAGUCGCUGUGUCUGUGAUUUCUUACUACGGUGUGCAAACUCCGCAAAUCGAACUGUCUUGAAAAGUGCGGUGCUGCCACAGUUACGUCGGCGAGGUAAAAGGUGCUGCANCGAGAGGGAAAAAAUGUAAUCCUGCUGGGUGCUGAGUCUGUACGCUGAUACCCUCUUUUUUCUUGCAUGUGCUGGAAAAGCAAGGACUGUGGAGUUUAGACCAAAUGUAUUGACCAGAACAGAUUACAAGAAUACAGUAUUACAAGAAUAAAAAAUACAGUAUCAGUUAAAAGCA
rnacentral:lncRNA from 1 species